rnacentral:lncRNA from 1 species
AUUGAAUAUUCAUCUUUAGGUGUAGCUAAAUUUAAGUUCCUAAAGUCGAUACAAACUCUGAGUUUACCAUUCUUUUUACGUACUGGAACUAUAUUAGACACCCAAUCAACAUAACGGGCCGCUCUAAUAAAUCCGGCCUUUAAAAGAUUUUCAAUUUCAUUUUUAAUCUGAAGUACAAUACUCGGCUCGAACCUACGAGCCGGUUGUUUAAAAGGCUUGAACCCGUCUUUGAUAGGCAGCCGAUGCUCUACAAUUUCUCGGCUUAACCCUGGCAUUUCUUGAUAGCUCCAAGCGAAACAAUCUUUGUAUUCUUCCAAUAGUUUCUUCAAUUCUUCUUGUUGCCGAA